AGUCGCGCGCGGGCUCUGGCGUCUGGUCUCGCUCCUCUCCUGGUCUUGUUCCUCUCCUGUUCUCCGCGGCAGCUCUAGGAGAGAGAAAACGGCUGGUCUCCGCGGCCCAGCUCUGAGCUCCUCUUCUGCGGACGCACACCUUUGAGAAGCGUCAGCGCAGACCCAGGUCCACCUCCUGAGAAUAGCUCUUAUUUCUGGGGCGCGGCGGCUGGGCGUUCGCACUGCUUGUCAAAAAGGUUGGAAUCUGGAGACGGAAAAUAGGAGAAAAGACGCCCUCGUUUGUGCUCCUCGCCGGUUUCUUCAGAGCCGCAGGUGCCCAGGGUUUCUCCAAGUUUGUGCAGACUUCAACAGUGGGAGUGAAGGAACAGGCCUCUCCCAAUGUUAUGAAAGAGAGACCUUGCUGAUUGGAUGUUCCCGAAAAAGCAGACGCACUUAGAAGAGAUUUCUACUCUGGCUGUCCUCCAGUCCUGCAAGUGCCUGUCAUCGGGUGAACCCAGCUGGAAAUCAGCUGAUUUGGAAGCUGGGAAUUGUAUCUGGUAUUUCUGAAACCACAUCUCAGAUGGGACUUGAAUCCCCAAUCUUUCAACUAAAAACUGCACAACUCAUCCCAGGACUUAAUGAAGCUCAAGUUCUUUAUGUCUCAAUGCAGAAGGAAUUCGGGGAAAGGCAAAGUGAUAGGUAAGAAGUAGAUUUAUUAAAAUAGGAUGUUUGUGAAGGAUACAAGCGGGCAGGAAAGUGGGCUGCAUUUUUCUAAUCAAAGGAAAAGUGGGGAGAGGGAGAAGACCAUCUUCUUGAAAAGAUGUUUCAGGAAAAUGGGGUGUGAGAAGAUAGUCAUGUGCAGGGUCUCAGGUGAGUCUCUGGGAUGGGCCACCAAGUGAGGGUCCUUGGCUUCUCACAGGAGAAAAUGCAAGAGUGAGCCAUAGUAAAGUGAAAGCAGGUUUAUUUAGAGAGAUACACAUUUCAUAGGCAGAAUGAAGUCCACUUCAGAAGGUAAGAAUGGCUCUGGAAAAUACACCCUCCAUAGGCAGAGUAUGGAUCAUCUCAGAAGGCUAGAGUACCUUGGGCUGUGGGCCUGGUUAGUUUUUAUGGGCUGGGUAAUUUCAUAGGCUCAUAAGUAGGAGGAUUAUUCCAACUAUUUUGGAGGAGGGGUGGGGAUUUCUAGGAAUUGGCCUGUGGAUAUGCUGUGUAGCAUGCUAAUGUUUAUUACAGUGAACAUAUAAUGAGGCUCAAGGUCCACUGGAAAUCAAACCUUCUACCAUCUUGGGCCUAGUUGGUUCUAACCAGUUUAUGUGGUAUCUUCAAUGGCUAUGUCCUUCUUUUCAUGGUUGUGCCCUGCCCCCUUCCCUCCUGUCUCAUUUCUCUUACUGGCAACUAAAAAAUCCUUGACUAAGAUAACAUCUUAAACUAAUUUGAACAAGUGGUUUAAAAAUUGUUACAUAUUUUCUUUCUUACAUUUCCAUUUUUCCUGCUUUAAAAUAGUUAGGAAGAUAAAGACAAUGGAAUGCUGGUACUUCUUUUUCACCUGGAUACUCUUUGUACUGAAAACUUUUGUAUUUACAUUACACUCACUUAGAUUGGGACUCUGAAUCCAUGUAAGAGGGAAGCUCUAAUAAGCAUCAGAACUGACUUGGUAUGAUGACUCAACUCCUACAUAAUGAAGGUAUCUGUGUGCAUCCACAUUAUAAUGCUCUGACACACAUAAGGAGCAUGUGUCACCCUGUCACAAUUUCCUGUUUUAAUGCAAGUUCAUACAAAUCCCAAUCUUAUCUUCUUCAGGCCCUCCAAACAUGAUUGGAUUUACUCAAGAUCUACAGUUCCAACUGAUAAAUCCUUAAAGACAACUUGCACGAAUUUGAACUCAUCUUUGUUGCUAAUCUUUCUUCUUCAGGUAUUUUCUUGUCUUAGUGAAUAACACUGCCAGGUACUCUUUUCCAAUCAGAAACCUCAAAACUAUCCUGUUCUUCUAUCCCUCAUGUUGUCCUUGUCCUCUAAUCUCCAGCCACUAUAUCCUGUUGGUUUUACCUCUAUUCAUUCUCUGUCAUCUCUCUUUCAUCUCUUCUGCCCAUGCCCCAAAUCAGACUAUCACUGACUGCCUUCCUAGUUUCCUUGUUUUAAAUUUCACUGUGCUGCUCACUAGUUCAUCCUGCACAUUUUUACUAGCAAGUGAGAUGCUGAUCAUGUUACCCUCCCUAAAAAAAUUCUUCAGAGAUUCCUUGUUACUUAACAGGGUAAUACUUAAGCUCCUUCCUUAGCUAUAAAGGCCCUUCAAUAUCUGUCCCUUCCACCUUAUUCAGUUUCCUGCUCUGGUAACUCCUCCCCCUGCACUCAAGCCUCAUGCUUUACCCUCCAUCAGUGCUUGGAGUCAUCUCACAUCUUAUUCCCUCUGCUUGGAAUGUUCUCUCUCCUAUUUCCUUAAGUCUGUGUGGCAAGCUCUCCUUCAACCAUCAGGACAAGGAUUUACCACUUUUGUGAAGCCUUUUCUGAAUUUCCCAGGUAAGGUGCCCCUCUUCCUCUGUGCCCACAUUGAAAGUUGCACACCGUUCCACUAUAGCUUAAAAUGCAUUAAAUUUAUUUGUAUUUAUUUGUUUCCUCAUUUGAUUCUAAGGUGAUGGAUCCUGUAUUUUAUGUGCAUAUAACUCCAUAUAUGUGUAUUUUUCAGACACAUAAUCCCCCAUAGCCUAGCACAGAUUCUCAGUAAAUAUUUGUUGACUAGGAAUUGAAGAAACAUAAAAGGGAAGGGAGGAAAGAAAAGAACGUAGGGGAAAACUAAAGGUACACUAUUCAAAGUUCUAAGAUACUACUUCAGAUUCCUUGUAGUUGUCUAUCUCCUUUUCUUCUAAAUAAGCUUAGCUCUCCCAAUGUGAAAUAUUUGAAUCAUGGCUAAGACUUCUGUUCAUACCCAUUUGGAUAUAAAUGCUGAACCCAUUCUCUGCAGCCAGGUAAGUUCCUUCAAAAUCCAGCUGUUUUCAUUGGAAGAUCUUUUGUCAGGUACCAGCUCCUUUAUAAUCUUACUUCCUUUUCUUUGACACUCCUGAUACAUAACAAUCUUAGAAGCAAUGAAAACAAAAUUUUCUUUUGAAGGUGGCAGUGACCCUUAAUGAUAGAAGUGCAUUCAGUAAUACCACUGUAUUGCUUAGGAAUUAUAUGAUAUAUUUAAAUAAUCUGAAUAUUUCUACUGCAAAAAUGCAGCAUUAAAGACUUAGAAGCUAAUCAUUUUGAAUGUUUUAUUCAACAAUCAAAAAAUAUAUAUAUUAAUCAAAAACAUCAAUUUCUCGGAGUUCCCGUCGUGGCGCAGUGGUUAACGAAUCCGACUAGGAACCAUGAGGUUGCGGGUUCGGUCCCUGCCCUUGCUCAGAGGGUUAACGAUCCAGCGUUGCCGUGAGCUGUGGUGUAGGUUGCAGACGCGGCUCGGAUCCCGCGUUGCUGUGGCUCUGGCGUAGGCCGGUGGCUACAGCUCCGAUUCAACCCCUAGCCUGGGAACCUCCAUAUGCCGCCGGAGCGGCCCAAGAAAUAGCAACAAUAACAAAAGACAAAAAAAAAAAAAACAACAUCAAUUUCUCAAGGAAAAAUGAACAUACUUUUCUUCCUGGAAGUUCCUACAUUUUAUUUCUUUUGAAUUAACAAAGCUAUAAGUGAUAAAUAAAGAAAAGAAUUGUGACUCUGAGAGUGAAGAAAGGUGAUAAUCAAGAUAUGAUGUUGCUAGUGUAGAACAAUCUUAUUUCCUGAGCAAGUUGGAACAGUCAGUAUAGGUAAAGAGAGAAGUUGACAGUAUACAAUUGUUGGGAAUACAGUAUGUUAGGAUUUUUGUAAGUCAAGGUUUAAAAUGUAAUCAUUAGGUGGGGAAACCGCUGCUCUUAAGACAUUAUCAGGUAUCUGCUGAUUUUAUGGGAAAUAUGGUAAGAAAGAGACUUACAUUCUCUUACUCUAAUAUUCUGCCCUUAAUUCCCUUUUAGUUUCCAUAAAUUUCUAAGUAAUAUAUGCUAAUGAAAUAUUUUUUCUUGUAAACAUUUAUGCAAGUAAAAGAAAAAAUAACUUUUAAAUGUUUAAAUUAUCAGAAAUGAAGGCUUAAAAGGAAACAACUGCUUUUGUAGUUCAUCUUUCUGGAGUCAGCAUUUCUUCAACUAAUUCACUACAAAAACAGUUGCAGUCUUUAUCUUAGUCUUCAUACUGAUUUAAACCAAGGCAAUGAUUGAAACUAUUUCAGACCUAAAAAUAGAAAACAAUAUUCUCUUCCUGCUUCCUUAGUAUAGCUUAGUGUUGUCUCAAGGAGCUCUAUUCUCUGGAUAUGUUCUAUCAUUCUCUUCUGUUAGGUCAGGUUUUGUUUUUUAUAGUUUUACUCUUCCUAAAGCCAUUUUAAUUUCCUUCUGAAGAUAAGCUUUCCAAGGCCAGCUCCUGAUGUUCCUCUCAUUUGCCUGUUGCUUUUGUUCCACUAUAAUACUUACUCUUUCUUCAACAAAUAGAUUCUUAAGUUUCCCACUCUCCAGUUUCUGUUCCUAUAGUUCCUAACUGAAAGGCCUACUAAAUGUGGAUUUCUAAUAGCAUAUUCUGUUCUGAGGGACAUCAUGUUGACAUCUUACCUAUAAUGAGAAGGUGCCUAAUUGUAGUUGCUGGAAAACUCUUUGAAUCACAAAAAGCCUUUUCUUUUUGUCAUUAAUAAUACUUGCCUUUGUUCUCUCGAUUUUCAAAGCAUUGGAGUCUGUCCUCAAUUAGAAAUAUAGAACAUGCGUCCUUCAAAACCACCUCAGACAGCAUAAACCAUAAUUUUUUUGCUAUUCAGCUACUCCCUAAACCCAGAGAGAAAUGUGGGAUUUUAAUGCUUUCCAUUGAAACCCCUAGGUAACCUAACUUUUAUUUUUGCAUUAAAUUAGAUCCCUGGGAGGCUGCAUGGUUGUACUGCAUUAACUUAAGCACCUUAUAGAAUCAAAUGCACUAACUUAUAGUGUAAAAACUCUUGACUUUAAUAGAAGAGUAUUAUAAGAAAAAGUAUUAUGAAUUUACUUUCAUAUUGAAGACAAAACUUUUCUUCAGGAGAUAUUUUUCUUAAGUAAGUUUAUAGUCUCUAUAAGUGUUGAAGGAGAAGUUUCUUUUGGAAUUUAGUUACAGAGAAUAAGCUCCCCAGAAAUCCUUUCUGAUAAAAGUUUUAAAAUAAGAUAUAUUUUUUCCACCCCUACCUGCCCUACUCCAGCCUGCUUGGAUAGUCAGAACAAAAUUUGUUGCUAUCAUAUCAACUAUGUGAGUGCUUUCAAAAUUUCAGACAUUUGCACAAUAGCUUCAUGAUGUUUACCAUAUCCUCAUACCUCCAGAAGAAUUUAUAUUCUGACUUUAAUUAAAUCAUUUUUUUUUUACUUUAGCAAAUGUAUUUUAAAAGAACACUUGGGUUUGAUAUGCUAGCUAUAUUUUUAAUCCACAUCAAAAUAUUAAACUUAAAAUUAUUUGUAUAAUGCUUAAAAUCAUCUCAUGUACUGUCAGUAGUGUAUAUAUCAUAUACUGGAAAACAUUGAACUGUGUUCACUUAGAGUUGGCUUAUUUUGCCUUCCUAUAUCGUUCUGAUUUUCUAUUAAAUAACUUUAUGGU
rnacentral:lncRNA from 1 species